rnacentral:lncRNA from 1 species
UGAAAAUGGGUCCCACAGACCCGAACACCACACACGGGUUAAGUAUGUAGUAUACAGUAUGCUAGUAUGGGUAUUCGAACUCAGCUUUUGUCUCUCCCGCAUAUCUGGUCGGUCAUUUACCACCCUGUGGUCGAUGGUGUAAUUGCAACAUAUUUUACUGAGUGCAGACGCAAGCACGAGGAAACGGCUAUACCUACAAUGCCUGGAAUGCUACGAAACACCAGAAAUAGUUGUUGUCAUUUCUUUGGCUGUGUGCACAAACGUGAUUUCAGCAUUUAGAAACAUCGCCUAUUGUGUUAUAUCAGUCAGACGUUUAAAAAGUCAAAGUAUAAAUCAUUUCUAUCGUGUUGCAUGAUGGGAAAAUAGUCUGACAGCGAUAUAAUCUAAUAAAACCAAAGUAGUCGCUUUUCCCUCGCUCUGUCCACAACUGCGAUCAUAAACGUCAUUAAACCCGGGUCUAUGUCGCCGAGGCUCAUCAACUUUUUAUAGUCUACCCAAAUCACCUUUCGCCGCUGAGCCUGAAUACGCCCGAUCUCGCUAGCUAAGCAGGGUCGGGCCUGGUAGUACUUGAAUGGGAGACCGCUUGGGAAUACCAGGUGCUGUCAGCCAGCCCAGUAUGGUGUACUAUUGUAUUAUUUUGUCAGAGGCAACUGUCUUAUAUUGAUUAACAAUAUAAUUGUGUAUGUUAAUGUUACAUUUUGCUUUUUGGGACUGUUUGGCUGUAAAUGUCUAUUUAAAGGUCAGAAUAUAGAAUGUUAGGAACACUGCUACUAGUUACUUCAACUGAGAGUGUUACAAAAUUUCGCUACACCCGCAAUAACAUCUGCUAAAUAUGAGAAUGUGACCAAUACAAUUUGAAUAAUGUUUGUUUCACUGUACACUUUUUCCAGAGAUAUGAACUUCAAAUAGUUGAUCCAACCAAUAUUACUUUUCUUACGGGCAAACCAGCCUAAAUGCGCCUAUUACGUUCCCCAGUUUCUGUGUUGUGGUUUUGUUUGUAUGCGUGUGUUUCAGGAUGGCUUCCUGGAUUCCCCCAAGCAGCUGAUUGGUCUGCCUCAUUGAUGAUUGGAAAGCUGACCCCUCCCCCUCGUCAGGAUACAGCGGUAUCCCAUUACAGACUCCUUCUCCAGCUAUAUAAGCCUGGUUCUGUUGCUCAGAAGAGAAAUGAUGAGUGUGUCCUGUGUUGGUUGUUUCUCAGAGAGAGCUGAUGGUUAUGUUCUGUGUUGGUUGUUGUUUCUCAGAGAGAGCUGAUGGUUAUGUUCUGUGUUGGUUGUUGUUUCUCAGAGAGCUUAUUGGUUAUGUUCUGUGUUGGUUGUUGUUUCUCAGAGAGCUUAUUGGUUAUGUUCUGUGUUGGUUGUUGUUUCUCAGAGAGAGCUGAUGGUUAUGUUCUGUGUUGGUUGUUUCUCAGAGAGCUUAUUGGUUAUGUUCUGUGUUGGUUGUUGUUUCUCAGAGAGAGCUUAUUGGUUAUGUUCUGUGUUGGUUGUUGUUUCUCAGAGAGAGCUUAUUAGUUUGUCCUGUUUUUGCUGAGACAUGUUUUUGUUAAGUACUUUGUAGCCGCUGCUUCUAAGGUAUGUGUCCCCAUAGGACGCAGAGUUUUUGAUUAUUGAAAUUGUUACGUUUGUAUUUUUCUGUUUCAGUUGUUCCCAGGGGGAAGGGGAAGGCACCUAGGGAGUGCUUAGGCAAGAGGCCCGCGGGCAUACAUAACCUGUAGUAUUCACUGUCUAUGCACACUAGGUAAGACCUGUGCGGACCACCCCCUGUAUUUUGGUUAGCGCACCAGGUGGCGCUAAGAUUAGGUAAGUAGUGGGUAUGCAGAUAAGGUAGGAGAGGGGAGCUUUGACAUUUACUUUCUUUGCUUUGGUUCCGUUCAGCCCCUUUUCCCCAAAUUUACCGUUUGAAGGAAGCAAUAAAUUCUGAGUAAACGGUCAAUUCUUUACCUUUGUCAUCCUUACUCGCACCUACAGUCCCAUACCUCUUCCUGGAGGUGUAUGUAACAGCGCCCUAUCUCCGAAACUAAGUAGUCGGCCAGGUUAGUACUUGGAUGGGAAUACUGUGCUGUAAACUUCUCAAUUUGACCAGUAGAGGUAGCUAUAAAGAGUAGUUUUCACAUUUUAUCAGACCAACUGCAUAUUAUUUAUUACGUUAACAGAUAUGUGCAUUCAAUACAUGCCUUUUCUGGUUCCCUUGAUGUUCAAAGCUAAUGAUUUUGUCAUGUUGCCACUGUUUCGCCAAUGGUGGUGCCGAUCUCUUAAACUGUGUUUGACUCAAAUGAACAGGUUUUGGGUAUGUACUAUCGUUGCAGUCCGAACAACAUAUCAGAACUGUUGACUGUAUGAAAUCGAUUGAAUAAUGGAGUAGGAAUAAGAGCAAAGUGUUGGGGUGCCUGUAAGUCACAUCAAAUGUGUACUGAACUGCAGUGCUCCAUUGUUUACACAGCCAUACCACCCAGGGUUGCUGUAUGCUUUUUGGUUUAUAGAUGGCGCCCUUGUACUGUAUUACAUUAUCCCAAGUGAAGAUUAAGAUCAUGUAAAGACCUACCGGUAAUUGGAUGUGUGUAUGUCCAGUUGCUCUACUGAAUGAAGGUACCGUAUUUCUUUACUCAUCCAUGUAUGUUGCGAAGGCUACAUUGUCCCAAUUCCCAAUACGUUAGCCUAAUGCAAUAUGUUCUAAAAGCUUUGUACAAAUUACAAAUCUGCAAUAAUUAGAUCUAGAUCAGUAAUCGGCUCUCUGACAGAAUAAAGGAUGCAGUGUUCUGGUGUCAGGAUGUCAACGGAGUGUAAGCCUACUAAACCUCUGAGGUGCCUCCUGAGUCCAGGCAGGGCAUGGGAAUAGGGUGAGGAAUGCAGGGAAUGUUAAUGAGCCCAGUGGAAGUGCGUCAGCCCGGGUUUAUUAUGAUCACGUAAUGACCUCACUGCAGAGAGAGUGAGACCACCUGACUCUCCAAUGGGCCGUGUUUCAUUCCAAUCAAUUAUCCCCUCAUCACUUCUGCCCUCGCUCACUCCCCUUCAUGAGUUAUUGAAUUGGACUGAAUAGGUGAAAGCAGCUGGAUCCGCCUGUUGAGUAUUACUGCUGUAGUGGUACUCAUGACCUAGACAGAUGUAGGACUGUAGUUGAUAACAUCAGAUAGCAUCGCACUAGGCCUCCGGUCUUGCUCACUUCUUCAUGUUAAUCUGUUGCCAUUGGUUUCCCACUUGUGGGUCUGUGUAUAUGCAUGUCUACAUGAAAAGAGGGAUGGGUGGAGGGAGGGAGGCAGUAGGGGAACAAGCUAAACAACAAAUGUUGCUGAUGGAGGACUUGUGCUGUGCUGACCAUCCCACCAUCAUUCAUGACUGCACAGUGUCCAUCACUGUCAAUCUCUGACCUAGCCUGACCUGUAGACAGUAAUAGUCAUAGCCCUAUUGUAUUACUCCCUUCCUUCCUGUAUGUCAUCACUACACUCUUAGAAGAAGAAAAAGCUAUCAAGAACCUAAAAUUGUUCCUCGGCUGUCCCCAUAGUAUAAGCCUUUGAAGAACCCUUUUUGGUUCCAGGUAAAAUCCCUUUGGUUCCAGGUAGAACCUUUUAGGGUUCUACAUGGAACCCAAAAGGGUUCUACUUGGAACCAAAAAGGGUUCUGUAAGAGUGUACGGCCAGGAGUUUUGUGGCACUUUUUGAGACACUGCGCUUUUACCAGUAUUCCAGCAUGAUCCACUAGGUUUGCUGUAGGCAGAACAUCCUAGGAAAGGUUCUUUAACCCCCUAGCGUCAAUUUCCUCACCCCCGUGGAAAUUGAAUUAGCAUAAUAAAAAUAUCCCCAUUAAAAAUCUGUCAGUUUAAGCUAGAGAUAUUGUGUUUUUUUGCAUUGGAGGCGUCUCAAUCCACUGCGUCAGCUUAUGUCACACUUCCGCAUCUGCGGUGAAAGAGCUAGAGCGUUGUUUGUCAGACCAUGAGACAUCCUGAGAGUCAGUCUUCUCAUCAAAUCGUCUGUAGCGUUCGAACGGUUUGGCCUAGAAACUUUGUGCUACACACUAUGACCCCUCUGUGCAAAGGUGAGACUCUCACAAACAUGUACAUGUUAUUGUUAUUCAAUGCGUUUAUAUGGGCUAAUAACAGUAAGGCCAAAAAUAAUUAUUUAUAAAAAAAAGUUUUAUUUUUUAUUAUUACUUCAAUGGGUUUAAAAAAAAUCUUAAUCAAAUAGCUAAAUGAUCCUUGGUAUGACAUUCUUAAAACAAUUCCAUAUAUCUUAGUAGAACCCCCCCCCCCCACAUGAAAAGAGGGAUGGGUGGAGAAAAGAGGGAUGGGUGGAGGGAGGGAGGCAGUAGGAGAACAAGCUAAACAACAAAUGUUGCUGAUGGAGGACUUGUGCUGUGCUGACCAUCAUCCCAACAUCAUUCAUGACUCUGCACAGUGACCAUCACUGUCCGACUCUGAACCUAGCCUGACCUGUAGACGGUAAUAAUCAUAGCCCUAUUGCAUUAAUCUUUCCCUUCCUUCUUUCCUGUAUGUCAUCACUACACUCUUAGAAAAAAAUACCUUCUUAAAACAAUUCCAUAUAGCUUUGUAGAGAUUUGUCACACUAACCACGUUUCCAUCUACAGAUUUUAUGCGAGUAAACUCAUACAGAACUGUAAAAAAAAUCAUGACAGCUGUGAUGGCAACAGGACGUUUCAGUACAAUUUUAUAAAUGCAGACAUAAUUUGUUAGUUCAACAUGGUGGGAUCUUUUUUGUGAAAAUGUAUAAUGCGUGAAAUGGUGGUGGGAAUGUCUUUAUGCGCAGAUAUUGAUAUAAUAACCAUCAUAUCGAAGUGAACUUGGAGUCACUGAUGCCAUGUUGUGUGGUCCUUAUUCUGGUGACAUGAUGAUCAAUGCUUGACUGCCAGUUGACAUACAAAUAUUCUUGCUUUUAUCCAUGAUACUCGCAUCAUGUAGACUAGCUUACCUGCACAGCCUACUCGCACUGUAGGCCUAUUUGCAAGCUAUUGGCUAGAGCGCACAUGCCAAGACCAGAGUGGGCACAUUUGAUAUUUAACGCAGUAGUUUUUGUGACAAAACUAUUGGUAGAGUUUAAAAUGUAAUGGAAACACAUUGACCUUCAGAUUUUUAUUUGGUGCAUGAAAACUUAUGUACCAAAAAGUACAUUCUGUGUCCACUAUGUCAUAUAUUUUCUUUAUGCAUAUUCUAGAAUGUUCACAUGAAAAUCUGUUGGAUAGAAAUCUAGCUAUAGUGAAAUAUCAGACAGGCCCAGGUACCUACUGUUUUCUUGUUUUGUCAAAGUUGAGGUGAAGACCCUCGAGGCCCUGACCUGUUGAUCAAUGCAAUGCUUCGGGUUUUGAUCUUAGUGCAUUGAAUUUUUUAUAUUGUAGUAUUCCCUGCUAAAACCAGACAUUGACUGACUGAUUGGAGACAGCUUGUGUCAAUUACAGAACAUUUCCUAGGAUUUCCAACCUGCACCAACACUAGUGGACAAUGCUGGAGAUACCGGUAAAAGCACAGUGCCUCAAUAUUGCCCUAAAACUCCUGUCCUUAGUCAUCACUGAUCUGACAUGGCUGGGCUAUGUGUCUGUGUUUGUGUGAGACAGAGAGACACAACACACAAAGACUUAUAGCUUGCUUUACACACACACACUCAUCUCAUAGGAGAUCUCUCAUAUCUUCAGCCACCUGGUUGGUAUGCGUGCUGUGUCCCAGUCCUCUCUUCUCAUGUAGAGUCAUGAGCCUCCUCUCUCCUUCUGACACAUCUAAUCACUUCACUAAAUCAUAUCAAUGAGAGCCUGAGAGACUAAUACCUCUCAUCUGACACCUCACUGCCCUUAUAGACGGGUUGGUUGUUUAACAACAAAACCAAUGCUUCCGCAACUAUGAGGCAAAACAGACAGGGUUGGCUUAGGUUGUUGACAUAAAUACAUUUGCAUAAUGAGCACUAGUUGUUGUCUCAAUUACAUCAUUACAGUUGGUGAUUAGCUAGCUAGCGAAUUUUUGACAUAUUAGCAUAGACGUUACAUCAGUCAAGACACCUCAAAACAAGACAUGAUAUCAAGAACAACAUACAACUAGGUGAAAAUAGCCACCUAUGAUUCCCCACAUGGAAGCUAUUUGUCAUUUGUUGCUAGCUAUGUGGCCAUCCAGAAUCACUACACACGGACUUCUGCCUCAUUGAAGCGUGUGCAUCGUUUUCAUGACGUUGUCAGCUAACCCAUCUAUCAAUUAGUUUUCCACCUUUUUCUCUCCUUUUUUAUGACAGUGUCCUUUCUUCCCCCACGUCACUUCUUGUAUUUCUCUCUUUAAUUGUGUCCUUUUUAAUAUUUUACACCUUUCAAUCCUUUUCUCUCUCUCUUUCUUGAGUGAUGUCUUGUCUAUGACUUGUCUGUCAUCUCUGGCUCUAUUCCUCUGCAACCAUCCCUGACAAACAGCCGGAAGAUGCCAGAGACACAAACUCUACAGAAUUAUCAUUGAAGGCUCUCGAAAGGGUGGCGCGGUCUGCACAACGCAUCACCGGGGGCAAACUACCUGCCCUCCAUGACACCUACAACACCCGUUGUCACAGGAAGGCCAAAAAGAUCAUCAAGGACAACAACCACCCGAGCCACUGCCUGUUCACACCGCUAUCAUCCAGAAGAGGACCUGAGCCCUAGGACCAUGCCUCAGGACUACCUGGCUUGAUGACUCCUUGCUGUCUCCAGUUCACCUGGCCGUGCUGCUGCUCCAGUUCCAACUGUUCUGCCUGCAGCUAUGGAACCCUGACCUGUUCACCGGACGUGCUACCUGUCCCAGAGAUGCUGUCCCAGACCUGCUGGAACCCUGACCUAUUCACCGGAUGUGCUACCUGUCCCAGACCUGCGGUUUUUAACUCUCUAGAGACAGCAGGAGCGGUAGAGAUACUCUCAAAGAUCGGCUAUAAAAAAGCCAACUGACACUCUUGUGUUACUGACUUGUUGCACCCUCGACAACUACUAUGAUUAUUAUUAUUUGACCAUGCUGGUCAUUUAUGACCAUUUGAACAUCUAGGCCAUGUGCUGUUAUAAUCUCCACCCGGCACAGCCAGAAGAGGACUGGCCACCCCUCAUAGCCUGGUUCCUCUCUAGGUUUCUUCCUAGGUUUUGGCCUUUCAUGGGAGUUUUUCCUAGCCACCGUGCUUCUACACCUGCAUUGCUUGCUGUUUGGGGUUUUAGGCUGGGUUUCUGUACAGCACUUUGAGAUAUCAGCUGAUGUAAGAAGGGCUAUAUAAAUACAUUUGAUUUGAUUUACUCAUCUCACAUGUAUAUACUGUACUUUAUAUAAUCUACUGCACCUUGCAUAUGCCGCUCAGCCAUCGCUCAUCCAUAUAUUUAUAGGUAAAUAUUUUCAUUCACCCCUUUAGAUUUGUGUGUAUUAGAUAGUUGGUGGGGUAUUGUUAGAUUACUUGUUAGAUUUGUGUGUAUAAGGUAGUUGUUGGGAAUUGUUAGAUAUUACUUGUUAGAUAUUACUGCACUGUUGGAACUAGAAGCACAAGCAUUUCGCUACACUCGCAUUAACGUCUGCUAACCAUGUGUAUGUGACCAAUAAAAUUUGAUUUGAUGAGGC